AAAGUGGUGCUCAAUCUGCACUUUGUAUAGUGCGAGUGGAGCACUGCUGACU
rnacentral:pre_miRNA from 1 species